AAACUUUUAACAACGGAUCUCUUGGUUCUGGCAUCGAUGAAGAACGCAGCGAAAUGCGAUAAGUAAUGUGAAUUGCAGAAUUCAGUGAAUCAUCGAAUCUUUGAACGCACAUUGCGCCCCCUGGUAUUCCGGGGGGCAUGCCUGUUCGAGCGUCAUUUCA
rnacentral:rRNA from 1 species